AGCUUUGUGCAGUGGCAGUAUAGUAGCCAAUGAGGUUUAUCCGAGGUGCGAUUAUUGCUAAUUGAAAAUACAACUUUGUUUC
rnacentral:snRNA from 1 species